rnacentral:rRNA from 1 species
GCCGAACUCUUUCUUCGUGCUUAACACAUGCAAGUUGAACGGAAAGGCCUCUUUCGGGGGGUACUCGAGUGGCGAACGGGUGAGUAACACGUGAGUAACCUGCCCUUGACUUUGGGAUAACUUCAGGAAACUGGGGCUAAUACCGGAUAGGAGCUCCUGCUGCAUGGUGGGGGUUGGAAAGUUUCGGCGGUUGGGGAUGGACUCGCGGCUUAUCAGCUUGUUGGUGGGGUAGUGGCUUACCAAGGCUUUGACGGGUAGCCGGCCUGAGAGGGUGACCGGCCACAUUGGGACUGAGAUACGGCCCAGACUCCUACGGGAGGCAGCAGUGGGGAAUAUUGCACAAUGGGUGGAAGCCUGAUGCAGCAACGCCGGGUGCGGGAUGACGGCCUUCGGGUUGUAAACCGCUUUCGCUCAUGACGAAGCUUUGUGUGACGGUAGUGGGUAAAGAAGCACCGGCUAACUACGUG